UACGUAGGGGGCAAGCGUUGUCCGGAAUCAUUGGGCGUAAAGCGCGUGUAGGCGGUUCGAUAAGUCUGCUGUGAAAGUCCAGGGCUCAACCCUGGGAUGCCGGUGGAUACUGUCGGGCUAGAGUACGGAAGAGGCGAGUGGAAUUCCCGGUGUAGCGGUGAAAUGCGCAGAUAUCGGGAGGAACACCGAUGGCGAAGGCAGGUCUCCUGGGCUGACACUGACUCUCAUGCACGAAAGCGUGGGGAGCAAACAGG
rnacentral:rRNA from 1 species